rnacentral:lncRNA from 10 species
CCGUGAACCGCCUGCCUUGGCCUCCCAAAGUGCUGGGAUUACAGGCGUGAGCCACCGCGCCCCGCCGGCCUGGAGCAUUUUUGAGUUCUGAGUGCAGGCUGCCUGGAACCUACCUAACUGUUGCUAGUGGAACACUGCGGGUGGGAGCUGUUUGGGGCUUACUGCCGCCUGCUACCCUCGGUUCCCCAUGCAGAUUCUUUCGUGCAGCAGAGGCAGCUGUGCUUUUCCCUGGAACAUUACUCCAGCAGCCAGGAAACUUCCCUCUGAUCCCCACUAAGGCCACUGCUUGUGCCUACAUCUGGGGAGCCGGAGGGUGGACUUGCCUGACCCAGCCCCCACCUGGUUUUGCCAAUCCACCCGCACAGAUAGUGUAACACAAGGGACUGGGACAUUUAGGAGUGGAGCUCCAUGGCCCUACCCAUGGUCUGAGAGGCCAGAGUACUUCUCCUGGGUGACAUAAGGCAAGCACAAAUUCCAUUGCUACCACCACAGCUGGCGCUUUUUGCAAGCACCAAUUCCUGGCUGGAGGCCAACCAGUGCAGCCCAGUACAUUUGCAGACACAAUAACGCAGUGUUCAGGAAGGAGAAAACUUGAGUGACCUCAGCUAUUGCCACUGCCUGCAUCACCUUGGCUAACUAGGAGGUCUUGAGUCUGUCCACAUGCCCAGUACAUUACUACGACAGCUGGCAUUUGAGGAGGCCAACACACUAAGCCAUUUGUAACCAAGGAAAUCUCAGAGUCUGUGUCACUCUCCUCCUGACCCCAUCAGAGCUGGUGCUGGUACCUGCUGCUGGGAGACUUGAGGACAGGUCACAUCUCUGGAUCCCUUGCAGACAUUCCCCAGCACCAAUCUGGAGUGUGACAGCCCCACUGAGCAGCUAGACCCAGAGGAGCAGUAUUCACAGUAGUCUGGCCCUCAGGGACUGCUACUCCUAGGGGAAAGGGAAGUGUACUACCUUAAGGGAGCACCCUCUGGGACAAAAGAAACCAGGCUGCAGGACUUGAGUUCCUAGUAUUUCCACUUGUGGGAAGUUUCUUUCAGCAAAGCCACAGGUUCAGUGGUAGGCUCAGUGAGGAAAGUCUGUGGCCCUACCCCAAUAGUCAAGCAUCCCUGGCACUCAUGAAGGGUCUUGGAGAAGAGAACUUCUCCUCUCCCUUUCCCACCACUGCAGACAUAGCUGGACCUUCCCCCAUGAGAACUUGGCAUAGGUGCAUUCGUAGACAACCUUUCUGGAACACUAUAGGGUGACUGCAACCCCACAGGAGGAGUGCCAUCCAGGUUCAGGCUUGCAUGAGAGGGAGAGUCGCAGUCCCUCUCUAUGUGGAACAACAGCAUUCCUGCAGAUGAACAGAGGUGCUUGUCUCACCAGAACAGUCGGAAUGCUGGGUCAGAAGUGUAACUAGGAGGUAGAUCCGCUUCCUGCUGACCUGGCAAGGGAGCUGAGGUGGCUCCCUCUCUUCCCCCUGAAAAGACAGUGCGUUUCGCUGAGAGCCUCCUCAGCUGCCUCUGUCAAGAGUGGGGCCUCUGCCAAUCAUUGGGGUAUUGCAUUUACCCACCUGCUUUAGCUGCAGCCAGUUUCUACCCAUGGGUAACUCCUACUGGCUUGAAGCCUGAACUGUUCAACCCAGUGAAUAAAAUACUGGGGGAAAAACUUCUUUAAGUGUGCACAUUGGGGAAUGAGGUAAGCUUCGUGAGACCUCUGCUAUUCCAGCCCCACAAGAGACAGUGAAACAAUGUACACAGCCUGUACCUUGCUACUACAACCAGCAUCUGAGGAAGCCAUUGCACAAAGAUUCUCUUUAACCAAGGAGCACAUACAGAAUCUGCAUCACUGAAAGCACCCGGAGCCAAAGGUAGCUGACAGUAAACUAAUUUCAGUCUUGUCACCCAG